CCUACGGGUGGCAGCAGUGAGGAAUAUUGGUCAAUGGGCGGGAGCCUGAACCAGCCAAGUCGCGUGAAGGAAGAAGGUACUUAGUAUUGUAAACUUCUUUUGUCGGGGAACAAAGGCGGAGACGCGUCUCCGGAUGAGUGUACCCGAAGAAAAAGCAUCGGCUAACUCCGUGCCAGCAGCCGCGGUAAUACGGAGGAUGCGAGCGUUAUCCGGUUUUAUUGGGUUUAAAGGGUGCGUAGGCGGACGCUUAAGUCAGCGGUAAAAUUGCGGGGCUCAACCUCGUCGAGCCGUUGAAACUGGGUGCCUUGAGUGGGCGAGAAGUACGCGGAAUGCGUGGUGUAGCGGUGAAAUGCAGAGAUAUCACGCAGAACUCCGAUUGCGAAGGCAGCGUACCGGCGCCCAACUGACGCUGAAGCACGAAGGCGUGGGUAUCGAACAGGAUUAGAUACCCCAGUAGUC
rnacentral:rRNA from 1 species